AUUGAACGCUGGCGGCAGGCCUAACACAUGCAAGUCGAACGAGUGGCGGACGUGUGAGUUAUGUCUGGGGACCUGCCCGAUGGAGGGGGAUAACUACUGGAAACGGUAGCUAAUACCGCAAACCAUCGGAUGUGUCCAGAUGGGAUUAGCUGGUAGGUGGGGUAAUGGCUCACCUAGGCGACGAUCCCUAGCGGGUCUGAGAGGAUGACCAGCCACACUGGAACUGAGACACGGUCCAGACUCCUACGGGAGGCAGCAGUGGGGAAUAUUGGACAAUGGGCGGAAGCCUGAUGCAGCCAUGCCGCGUGUAUGAAGAAGGCCUUCGGGUUGUAAAGUACUUUCAGCGGGGAAGCGUUACUCGCAGAAGAAGCACCGGCUAACUCCGUGCCAGCAGCCGCGGUAAUUC
rnacentral:rRNA from 1 species